GAUGAGUGAAAUCACCUGGCACCUGUCCCUAUCUGCCUGGCCCACUUCACUGAACAUAACACCCUCCAGCUGCAUCCACACUGCUGAAAAUGGUUCUGAGACAACAUCAGGUCAGAGUGGACCUGGGGAAGGGAGGAUAACAGCAUGGUGCGCCGAGCACCGGGGCCUUGCAGCUGAAGUGUCAGAGGAUUGUCCUUCAGAAAGCAGCUCUGGAAGGAGGUGAAGAAAGCCUGAGACCAUUUGGAGGGACAGCUCUUCCAGGUGGAAGCUGAAACCCAGCAGACCAGCGAGGCUGAACCAACUAUGAGAUAGACCUGGAGAUUGGCUUUGUACUGAGAGGGUGUGGUUGAGGACGGCUUUACCCACUUUACAGGCUCUCAGACUUGGUCAGCCGAGGACCAGUUGAGCUGGCACAGGAUGCUCCAGACACACACCUGGUCCAUUGGCCUGGCUGCACACCCAGGGGGCAGUGUGGCUGCUGACAGAGAGCUCAGAUCCCCGAGGAGGAGGAGACACUGCUGCUGUCCCAGAGGGGUUGAGGCCGAGCAGAAGUGAAGGCUCACUGCUCUGAAAACCAAGGAGGCGAAGGGGCCAGUGAAGCAGAAACUGCAGAGCCUGGUCAAAGGUCUGCAUGGAGGUGAGGAGCAAGGCCUGCCAGCCCCACCUGUUUGUCACCUAGGGCUGGAGUCACAAGAGGUGGAGGCCCAAGAAGUCCUGUGACAGAGAAUAUUCAAUGGCCCAUCUCACCUGGGAGGAAUGGUGUCAUCUCUGAGGUGAGGUCCUACUCAUCUUGGCCUUAGAAAAUGUAUCCAGACAUUGUGACUCACUUUUCUGUGACUUUCUUUUUGAAUAUACUUCCAAACUUCCAGAAAAAAUUGCCAAGAAUUACACAAAGAACUCAUAGAUAUCUUUGCCCCAGAGUCGCCAUUGUUUGUCUUUGCCUCAUUUGCAAAUGAUCACUCUGUGUGUGUGCGUGUGUAUGUAGUACAUAAUUUUUCUGGACCAUUUGAGCAAUUGGCAGUUUCAUCCCUCUUUGCUAAUAUUUCUGU